rnacentral:lncRNA from 1 species
CCUCCACCAAUUCAACAGAUCUAGCCAGCAUCAGUCACGGCCGACUAAUUUGGUCAGCUCUUCCAGCAAGUUCAACAUUUGACAACCACAAUCCAGGCAGUUCAAACCUUUCCACAUCCUUUCAAGUGGCGCCACAGUCUCUCCAGGUUGUCCCUGCACCCCCUACAACGGUGCAUCAUACAGUUCUCUCGAUGGUGCCACUUGUGCCUUCUGCAGUGGUGCCCCCAUAGAAUCCUGCUUUGACUGUGGCUCUGCAGUCACUGCCUUAACUAGAGCCACAGACGCCUCUUUGAAGUCUGAAGAGGAGGUUGACUCAUCAAAGUCACCUUAGGGCCCGACAGCCGGCCAGGUGACAAUCUCUAAGCCCAC